UCAUAUUAUUCUUACAGCUGAUAAGGAUAGAGUUUGAAUUUUUUAUUUAUUUGUUAUUUUUUCUUUUUAAAUGCAAUUCUUUGAAUCAUUUUUCGGUAGAAUGAUGUGGUGUGUGAACCUAGACAGUAGAUGCUCUACUAUCCCUCCAUUUGGGUGCAUUUUAAUUAGUCUUUUACUGCUUUUAUAUAUUUGGCACUCUUCUCCGCGUACUUGACUUUAAAAAUAGCUGCAUGAAAUGUCAUUCAGAAUGUUCAUGGCAUCAGGUGGGCAAUGUGGAAAUCCCUUCAUUUGUUAAGGCUUGAGGAAACACUGUCUUAAGGCCUUACUGGAAAACUCCUUUGGCCAUCUUCGGCUGUUUUCAGGUCAUCUUACCUAUCCUUGACAGCAGAAUGUGCGUUCCUGAGGAGUUUUGGAUAUUAACUUUAAAACCUUUGUAUGCUGACUUGCAUUGAAGAUUAUAGCUUUCUGCUUUGACAUAGUUGUUAUUCAUAGUUGCUGUGAAUGAAUUAGAUAAUGUAGUUGGUGUUGAUCAUACUCUUUGGUGUUUCAAAUUAAUG
rnacentral:lncRNA from 1 species